rnacentral:rRNA from 1 species
AAACCGGAGCUAAUACCGGAUAACAUGUUGAACCGCAUGGUUCAACAGUGAAAGACGGUCUUGCUGUCACUUAUAGAUGGAUCCGCGCCGCAUUAGCUAGUUGGUAAGGUAACGGCUUACCAAGGCAACGAUGCGUAGCCGACCUGAGAGGGUGAUCGGCCACACUGGAACUGAGACACGGUCCAG